UACGAAGGGUGCAAACGUUGCUCGGAAUCAUUGGGCGUAAAGCGCACGUAGGCGGCCUGAUAAGUCGGAUGUGAAAUCCCUCGGCUCAACUGAGGACGUGCAUUCGAAACUGCCAGGCUCGAGUAUGGAAGAGGGUCGCGGAAUUCCCGGUGUAGUGGUGAAAUGCGUAGAUAUCGGGAGGAACACCAGUGGCGAAGGCGACUACCUGGCCUGUUCUUGACGCUCAGGUGCGAAAGCUAGGGGAGCGAACGGG
rnacentral:rRNA from 1 species